UCCCAUGGACAGGGGAGCCUGGUGGGCUGCUGUCUAUGGGGUCACACAGAUUGGGACACGACUGAAGCGACUUAGCAGCAGCAGCAAUCUAUAAAAAUAAUGGAUCACUGUGCUGCAUACCUGAAAUCAGUAUAAUACUGUAAAUCAAUGAGACUUCAAUUAAAAAUGUUAGCAAUUUUUAAAAAGUAAAAGUGUGUUCUAGAAUCAAUAAGACAUCAUAAUUUCUUUCUUUCACUUUAUUCCAAAGAAAUUUCUACUUCACAAGAACCUACAGUUGUACAUUUCAUUUAUUUAAAAUUGCUAGAAAGCUCAAUCUCCAGAGAGCACUGCAUUCAAAGCAGCAACAGUCCAAGAUCCAAAAAAUAGCUGCAAAGGAAAUAAAUUUGUUCUGAAAUAUCUAUAAAACGUACCAAAAUAGGAUUUGGUUCAUAACAUGCUACAAAGUCUCUUAAAACUCUUUCUGGAAGUUCCCUGGUUGUCUAGUGGUUAGGACUCAGUGUUUUCACUGCUAUGGCCAGAGUUCAAACUCUAGUUAGGAAACUAAAAUCCUGCAGACAGCAUGGCACUGCUUAAAAAUUAAAUAAAUAACUACAUGCAUACAUAUAUAUGUACAUAAAUUCAAACUGAAAAAGAAAAAGCAUUUCUCUCCAAAUUUCAAGCUCUUGCCUUCUCUCCUCCAUACCUUCAUCUCUGGAUUUAUCCUAUUUUCUUUAACCUUUUGAGUAAUCCUUUAAUCUUCCCAAUGUAAAUCAUCCUGUCCUUCUUGAAUGCUCCAGUCUUGCUUAAUUCAGCCCCCAAAAGACUCAUAAGUGAAGUGGGCAAAAAUGGAAUUAUUCUUAUACUGGGAGAGGCUUUAAAUACUUCAGUAGCAACAUUUUUCAUACAUUCAGUUAACACAAUUUAAUAAACACCUACUAUGUUCCCAGGAACCAGUUCUGCCCCAGACUCAAUUGGAUUGGAAGCUCAGCUUUUUUCUUGAUUGUAAUUGUUCCAAGAAAAGUAUAUCUUUAAGGUUAUCUCCUAAAAAUGAAUCAUAUUGUAUGGCUGUACCCCAGUACAGAUAAAAAGGGAAGGU
rnacentral:lncRNA from 1 species